CCUACGGGUGGCAGCAGUGAGGAAUAUUGGUCAAUGGACGCAAGUCUGAACCAGCCAUGUCGCGUGCAGGAUGACGGCUCUAUGAGUUGUAAACUGCUUUUGUAAGAGGGUAAAGUCAGACACGCGUAUCUGUCUGUAUGUACUGUACGAAUAAGGAUCGGCUAACUCCGUGCCAGCAGCCGCGGUAAUACGGAGGAUCCAAGCGUUAUCCGGAUUUAUUGGGUUUAAAGGGAGCGUAGUCGGUCGGUUAAGUCAGUUGUGAAAUCUUGAGGCUCAACUGUGAAAUUGCAAUUGAUACUGUUAGGCUAGAGAAUAGUUGAGGUAGGCGGAAUGUGUGGUGUAGCGGUGAAAUGCUUAGAGAUCAUACAGAACUCCGAUUGCGAAGGCAGCUUACCAAGCUGCUUCUGACAUUGAGGCACGAAAGCGUGGGGAGCAAACAGGAUUAGAUACCCGUGUAGUC
rnacentral:rRNA from 1 species